AGUUCUCGUCCGAUCACUGAAGUUAAGCAGCGUUGGGCACGGUUAGUACUUGGAUGGGUGACCGCUUGGGAACACCGUGUGAUGUUGUCU
rnacentral:rRNA from 1 species